AAUUAUUCCUGUCAGACAAGAAAUGUUUCUUAUCACGCUCACAUGAAACAAAAGAUUAUGAGAUAGACAUAGAUGGAACAUACAAAACAAGCACACCAGUAAAUGUAAGUAAUAAUUACACCUUUUUUGAAAUAUGUUGUACAUCAAAAUACUGGUCAAAUUUGAAUAAAAUAUUUUUGAUGUUGAUUGAUUUUUUGGCUUUAUUUUAGUCACAUGAAACAAAAGAUGAUGAGAUCCACACAGAUGGAACAUACAAUUUAAACUUUUCAUUGCAUCUAAAUAUUAAUAAUGUCAUCACAAAAAUACGCCAAAUGACUACAAUUAUUAUUUUUUAUUUCAUUAACAGGUUUUAUUUUCGGUAUGCAAUACCGAGGUGGAACCUUUUAGAUCUGUGUCAUCCCCUCACGUUUAGUGAAAUACCGGGGUGGUUGGAACUUGAUUUGGUCCAUCCUGUCAUCAACUGUUUUUCAAUGGGACGACUUCUGAACAUCAGAGAGAUCUUGACUGUCAAGAUACGUGAAUUAGGCCACUGAACUUUUCAAAACAAAACCAACACAGGUGAAAUAUCUGAGCAUCUCCCUUGACAAUAAAUUGAACUGGGCAAGUCAUAUCGACAACAUGCAUAGUGCCUAGCAAACAUAGCGGCCAUGGGUUGUAUGAGAACCACUCUAUCGGCAUCACUUGACUUCUUUCUGAAUCUCAGACAUUUAGACCUCAUUAUUCAGGAGGAAGCACAAGCACCCACUCUAAGACUUAAAGGAAACGAUCUAUGAAAGCAAAACAAGGAGACAGGAUAUUCCGCGAUUCUGCACAAAACCCUAAAAGAAAUACCCCUCAUCAACAGGAUAGGUACCCUGUGUACACAUCUUCGACCAAAGAUAAUAUCCAGCUUACAGCGGAAACGCGAAAUUGCUCUGGAAUCAAUGAAGUUAGGAUAUACCGACGUCUUCAAAACUGAAAUAAGUACUAGGAGGUCUUCUCGAAUGACCUAAACAUAAGAAUAUCAACAACAUUAGAUAAGAAUUAAAUAUUCUCAGAUAGUGCAUCCGUACUGCAAGCGCUACAAAGCAAUACAUUGUCAUAAUGUUAUCAAAUUGUGUUUCAUGAAAUGUAUAGAAAUAGGCUAUUGAUGAAACUUUUGUCCGUGACGUGAGACAGAUUAUAACAUUUGUUGAGACCAAAACCUAGUUAGCAGUCGAUCGUAACAGAAUAUUACUUGUUUAUUGCUUUACGAAUUUGAUAAUGAUAACACAGC